UUCCUUUAUUAAGAUACAACAUCCCAAGCACUGAAACACACCAGAUUUCCAACUGACUGUCAAGCCAGCUGAAUUGACAAAAAAGGCUGUUGGGUCUUUGGUCAAGCAUUAGAACAGGCUGCCCAGGGAGGCGGUGGGGUCACUGUCCCUGGAAUUGUUCCAGAACCAUGGUAAUGUUGCACUUGGGGACAUGGCAAGUGGGCACAGUGGGGGCAGGCUGGGUUCCGGGAUCUCAGAGGUCUUCUCAAACCUUAAAGAUUCUAAAGACUGCUAGCUGAAGUAAGGAGCACGUCAAAGUACCACUUAAACUUGGAAACUCACUAAAAAACUUCACAAACUUCACUGAAUGCCUCGUGGUAAUCUUCCAAAGGUCCUGGAAAACCGACAAGCAGAGCCAGCGCUCUCAGAGCUGCCACACAGCCAGCGAGGUGUGGCACAGAGCGAGUGGGCUGUGCUGCCCAGGGAUGUUAAGGAUACUGCACCACAUGGUUAAUUUGACAUGCGAUAAAUGAAAGGCUCAAGCACGCCUGGCUGUUUGCUGCAUAAGGAGAAUUCAUCAUAGGAAAGCACAAUCAAAGCUUCACUUCUAGUCAAAGGCAGUGCUGCAACAUCCUAAGAACAGAUGGGAGUUCCAGCAGUUUCCACCAGCAUCUUUCAGAGAACCGCAGCGCUCCCACCACGCACUCAGGAGAGGGCUGGCACUUUGAAACAUGCUUGUGACUGCUUCCUAUCGGGAGCUGGGGAGCUCUGUCAAUUUUAAUGAAGGUGCAAAUACGCACCAAAAGUAAUAGUAUGUUAAUCUGCUUUCUCUGCACCUGGUUCUGACUUUUACAUUGUGCUCUUACAAACCUACAGCGCUGCACCUGUCUAAUAUGAAAACUAAAUUCCAAAUUGAGUGUUACAGCACAGAAGACAUUUUACUGUGCACACAAACGCCACACCAGCCCAGAAGCAGAGCUCAUGCAACACAGCCUCCUGUCUCUGAUAAGGACUGCUGAUAGAUGCCUGAGGAAGAGAACAAGAACCAAGUAAACAGAGAGCAAUGUUUCCUCAAUGCUCUCUGCCACUUGACAGUAAUAAGCAUCUCUGGGACUUCCUCUGUCCCCAUUUAUGUGUACAUGUGUAAACUCAGAGUUGGUCAAAUCCAAAACCCCUCUAAGUCCAAGCCCAUUUAGAUCUACCUUUUGCCAUUUAGGUUACCAAUUGACUCUUUGUCAUUCUGAUGAAUAACUAUGCACAGCUGAAACUGCCGUGUCCUUUUCAUUCAUUCUCUGCUCUAAGAGAUUAAAUCCUAAAACCUAAAUUAACUGUUGCUUUAAGACUGCUUUUAGAAACUGCAUGUAAUCACCCGUUCUGAAUACAAAAAGACUUACUCAAUCCAACAGUGACAUUUACCAAAAUCCUAACAUUAAUUCUAAGCGAGAUCAGAGAUUUAAUCAUCCACGUCAGUGAAAGUAUUGUUUAUUCUAUUUAAGUGAAAAACGAAGCUGUAAAUUAAGCCAGAUCUUCCUGUAAAUACGGCGGAGAAAUAAUCACCCCUGCAUUAAAAGGUCAUGAAGGAUGACACUAAUACUUCAUACCAAAACUCUAAUGGCUACAUUUUAAAAUGGAUAUCUACAAGAGGCACUUUUAACAAGGAGCAGUGGCUACAAGCAGCUCUCCUUGAAACCAGGAUCUCGAUCUAAGGGUGCCUGAAAUAAGAACUCUGAACCUCACUGAAAACCGUAGAAAGGAGAUGCUGAAAUUCAGUGCUGCAGAUCUCCAUGAGGCUGAAGGAUGCCCACCCCAAAAGCCCCUGAAGUUAUCGCACACCACGUUCUGCAGGAAGGAAAGGCAAAGAUGAGCAGGCUGUUUACGAAACCAACCCAGAGAAAGCUCUGGAGGUGCGGGAAGGGGUUUGUUUGCUAUGCCAUGGGCUGAGCAGCAGCACAGCCCGGACCUCAGCGGGGAGCCCAGCGCUCCGAGCGCCGCCGCAUGCAGGCUCAUUUCUGCCGCUCACGUGCAACUCGCCCAAUUCAUAAUGCUAUUUACGGAUGUUUUUAAGGCUCGCUCAACGCAGAUUAAGCGCGAGCAUUAGCAAACCAACGAGCGGCCGGCUCCACACCCGAGUUACGCUAUUCUCAACCGACCUACGAGCACACCUCGCGGCACCGAAAGCCGCGAAUUAAAAUUUACGGCUCCGCGAGCCCGGCUGCGCGCCCGCCGUCCCCUCACACCCAUUACUUCCCGGGACGAGCUCGCACCGCCCCGAAGGGCUCCAGGAGCCGGGCAGAGC